rnacentral:rRNA from 1 species
AUUGAACACUGGCGGCAGGCCUAACACAUGCAAGUCGAACGAGUGGCGGACGGGUGAGUUAUGUCUGGGCAACUGCCUGCUGGAGGGGGAUAACUACUGGAAACGGUUGCUAAUACCGCAUACCAUCAGAUUUGCCCAGAUGGGAUUAGCUUGUUGGUGGGGUAACGGCUCACCCAGUCGACGAUCCCUAGCUGGUCUGAGAGGAUGACCAGCAACCCUGGAACUGAGAAACGGUCCAGACGCCUAAGGGAGGCAGCAGUGGGGACUAUUGCACAAGGGGCGCAAGGCUGAUGCAGCCAUGCCGGGUGUAUGAAGAAGGCCUUCGGGUUGUAAAGUACUUUCAGCGGGGAGGCGGUACCCGCAGAAGAAGCACCGGCUAACUCCGUGCCAGCAGCCGCGGUAAUUC